rnacentral:rRNA from 1 species
UGGAUUUGAUCUUGGUCCAGAGAGAGUGCUGGCGACGGGCCUAACACAUGCAAGUUAGACCGCCUUAAUUGAGCUGUAGCGUACUGGUGAGUAGCACGUAAAAAAUCUACCGAUAGAAAGAGGUGGAGAUACCUCAAACACUCAUUGGACCUAUGAGUCCACAAAAGAGUGUUGAAGAGCAGUGACUCGUUUAUCGAUGAGUUUACGCAAGAUUAGGUAGUUGGUAACGGUAAGAGCGUACCAAGCCAAUGAUCUUUAGAUGGCCUAAGAAGGGUGGUCAUCCACAUUGGAACUGAAAUACGGACCAAGCUUUUAAGAAAGACUGCAGUGAGGAAUCUUGGGCAAUGGACUGACGUCUGACCCAGCCACGUCGCGUGAAGGACAUGAAGGCUUUUUAAGGCUGUAAACUUCUUUACAAAGAAAAAGAUAAUGACGCUUUCUUUUCAAAAAGUCGCGGCAAAUUUUUGGUGCCAGCAGCCGCGGUAAGACCAAAGCGACAAGUACUUCUCGGAAUUAAUGGGUGUAAAACAUGGGCAGACGGUCUGUUCAGUGUUUGGUAAAAGGCCCAACUUGUUGGGUGCUGCCUUACAUACAUGCAGACUUGAGAACGGAAAAGGAGUUUGGAAUACCCGGCGUAGGAGUUAAAUCCGUUGAUACCGGGUGGAACAUCAUAAAGCGAAGGCAAAACUCUUGUCCGUAUCUGACGUUCAGCCAUGAAAUCGUGGGGAGCAAAGCAGAUUAGGUACCUGCGUAGUCCACGAAGUCAACAAUGCUUACUCUCUUUUGGAUAGUAAACCAACACCGUGCGGCUAAAAGCGGCACGUCCAACCGCGACGUUGAAAACGUUACGAAACACAAGUGCACGUACUUCCUUUCAAGCACUAGUAGGAGACUACGCAAAUAAACAACGGUUAACGACCGUAUAUUUAACGCUUCGGUGGUCUCUGGACCAUGAAGGGAGGAAGUGAAAAAACGAGCCCCAAUUAACCAAAAUACAGUGUUUUACGGAUGCCUUGGCUUGAAACAAUUAGGAGCGCAGUUACUUGCGAAAUUCCACGUGUAAGGGCGACUGAUAACACGAGGGUCCUCAAUAUCGGGAAACCGAAAUAAACAAAAAUACGAAGUGAAAUGAAACAUCUUAGUAACUUUAGGAAAAUAAAACAAACGUGUUUCCGUCAGUAGUGGCGAACGAACUCGGAAAAGGCGAACAUCCGUGUUGUGACUCUGGAAAAUGCGAGCUGAACGCCUUAC